GUUUGGCAUGGUUGGGGCACCACGGCGGUGGCUGGGCGCGGAGUGUGAGUGGCCUGAGGGCCGCACAAGACAGCUGCAGGGCUUCUCCCUGCCUGAACUGGACGCUGUUCGAAAGCGCGCCCUCCACUCGCACUGCUUGUUGGGCUCAUCAUGAAGCGCUUGGGCUCCGUGCAGCGGAAAAUGCCGUGUGUGUUUGUGACGGAGGUAAAAGAGGAGCCUUCUGCCAAAAGGGACCAUCAGAUCAGCCAUACCUUUGGGCCCGACUAGAUAGAAAACCCAACAAACAAGCUGAAAAAAGAUUUAAAAAUUUUCUACAUUCAAAAGGAAACCCAAAAGAAUUUUUUUGGAACGUUGAGGAGGACUUCAAACCAGCUGCAGAGUGCUGGAUACCAGCCAAGGAAAUAGAACAAAUAAAUGCAAACCCAGUGCCUGAUGAAAAUGGACACAUUCCUGGUUGGGUACCAGUAGAAAAAAACAACAAACAGUAUUGCUGGCACUCCUGUGUAGUUAAUUAUGAACUUGAAAUUGCCCUGGUACUAAAACAUCAUCCUGAUGAUCCUGGACUUUUGGAAAUUAGUGCAGUGCCACUAUCAGAUCUCUUAGAACAAACACUGGAGCUCAUAGGAACAAAUAUCAAUGGAAACCCAUAUGGGUUAGGGAGCAAGAAACAUCCAUUACAUCUUCUUAUACCACAUGGAGCAUUUCAAAUAAGAAAUUUACCUUCAUUGAAGCACAAUCAUCUCUUGUCCUGGUUUGAAGGUUGCAAAGGGGGUAAAAUUGAAGGAAUAGUAUGGCAUUGCAGUGAUGGCUGUUUAAUAAAGGUCCAUCGCCAUCAUCUUGGCUUAUGCUGGCCAAUUCCAGAUACUUACAUGAAUUCAAGACCAGUUAUUAUCAACAUGAACCUGAACAAAUGUGACUCUGCCUUUGAUUUAAGUGUUUGUUUAAUCAUUUUUCAAAAAUAGAUAAUCAGAAAUUUGCUAGACUCAAAGAUAUAAUAUUUGAUGUAUAAAAUGCAAAUAAAAUAAGUUUAUUAUCGUUAUAUUCUAAUCUUGGAUAUUCUACCAUAUUUAAAAAUAUUUCAAGGUUUCUAUUCAUUAUGAAACAUCAAUUUGUCUUCCACCAUUUGUGAAGAAAUGAAUUUUCCAGUUUCAAAUACCUGUUCAAAAUUUUAUUCAAAACAAGCAAAUUAAUUUUAAUCUCUUGCCAUAAAAAUAUAAGUAACAGUGACCGCCUAAGCUUGUACAAAGGCUGGAGCUGGAUUCUCUCCUCUAUAACUGAGUGGCAAUUUAAAGGCAACAACUAAACCAACAACUUAAUGUCACUAAUUUUCAAAAUUAAAUAGUUGAAGCUCAAUUUGAUUUUGCUAGAUAUUUAACAGAACAUAUGGCUCAGCCUCAUAACCUAUAUGUCUAUAUGUCUAUACCUGUAUUUAUAUAUAUUAUAGUUAUGAUUUGAGAAUCUUAACACAUGUGUAAAUAAGUAUAUAUAAACUCCCAAUUUUAAAUAUUAAAAUUGCUGAAUUUACCCUCAUACUUUUUAAAAAAACUUAAUCAAAACAUUAUGAAUGUAGAGAAAUUCACCAGAGCUCAUUGCCUAUUUGAUGGCCCUAAUUUAUUCUAAGUCUUCAAAUAUAUACUUUUAUAAUAAGUUGAAAAUUUCAUAUAAUUUUGUUUAUUAAGAAUUCCAAUCUAAGUAUAAAGGUACAAGGUAGUGAGAAGGAAAUACUACAGUUCAGAGAAUUGCUUAUUUCCGGGUAGAUUUUAACUUAUGAAGUUAAUAAAUAGUUAAAUGAAAUGAAUAGGUGACCUUUAGUAAAUGGGGAAAUUAACAGGACUUUCUUCAUCUUCAAACUCUUCAGAAGCAGCAACAGGGCUAGUUAAUUCAACUCCCAAUUGUUCUGAAAGUUUUUUUACCUUCUCUUCUAGGAGAAUAUUCUUCUUUACUUCUGCCUUGUAAUUAUACUUAAGAUCUUCAAUUUCUUCGAAAAAUGAAGGAUCAAAAUUUUCCGGUUCUUUUUUCAGCUUUUUUAUUUCCUCCUAACAGAAACAUUAUCUUUAAAAGUUGCUUAUAGGAAAUAUACAUAUUUUAGAUUUGAACUAAGAUUAACUGUAAAUAUGAAAGCGAAAGUAUUCCUGAGUGGUCAGCUACAGCUAUAAAGGCAAGAAGAAUUAAGAUUUCUAUUUGUUCCAUUGUACAGUGUAAAUAACUGUUGUUAACUGUCAAGUCCAAUUAUCUAUUCUGCAAGUUGUGUUCUAGCCUUUGACUAAAAUUUAUCAUCUCUUAUAGUGGGAUUUAAUAUU